CUUUUCUUUAACACUUUGAGGAGCUUUAAACAUGCUGCGCUCGUCCAGCAUUAAAAGACAAGUCUUUAGCAUUUUUGGAAAGCGCAGGGCUCCCACUGUUACACCACAACUACAGUCAUCAUAAUGCCGCAAUGUUCCUUUUUGGGAACUUGGGUGGUGCUUUGUGCCUCGCCUUUCUCUCUCUCUCUCUCCCAGCAAUCAUCACCUCCACGCCCUCGCACCUGUUAUGAAUCAGCACUCAUCACUGCCUGCAUUUAAGUCUGCCAGAUACAGGAAUCUACCGCCAGAGUAUUGACACCCGCCCGUGUGUUCCUUCGCUGUCCGCUCCAGCCACGCCGUCAAGCUCUUCCACCUGUCCAUACUCUCGCUUCCUGCACAUUCCCUGUUCCGAUGGACCACCAUCACUCUUCGAAUAUCCUUCCCCUGAGUUACCCUC